rnacentral:lncRNA from 1 species
GUUUAUACAAAGACGGAGAUAUUCACCGAGGUUUCCAGUCACUUCUCAGUGAAGUUAACAGAACUGGCACUCAGUACUUGCUUAGAACUGCCAACAGACUCUUUGGAGAAAAGACGUGUGAUUUCCUUCCAGACUUUAAAGAAUACUGUCAGAAGUUCUAUCAGGCAGAGCUGGAGGAGUUGUCCUUUGCUGAAGACACUGAAGAGUGCAGGAAGCAUAUAAAUGACUGGGUGGCAGAGAAGACUGAAGGUAAGAUUUCAGAGGUACUGGAUGCUGGGACAGUCGAUCCCCUGACAAAGCUGGUCCUUGUGAAUGCCAUUUAUUUCAAGGGAAAGUGGAAUGAGCAAUUUGACAGAAAGUACACAAGGGGAAUGCUCUUUAAAACCAACGAGGAAAAAAAGACAGUGCAGAUGAUGUUUAAGGAAGCUAAGUUUAAAAUGGGGUAUGCGGAUGAGGUACACACCCAGGUCCUGGAGCUGCCCUAUGUGGAAGAGGAGCUGAGCAUGGUCAUUCUGCUUCCCGAUGACAACACGGACCUCGCCGUGAUUAAAGCUGGAGGAGAGUUAUGACUUGGAGCCUUUCCUUCGAAGAUUAGGAAUGAUCGAUGCUUUUGACGAAGCCAAGGCAGACUUUUCUGGAAUGUCAACUGAGAAGAAUGUGCCUCUGUCCAAGGUUGCCCACAAGUGCUUCGUGGAGGUCAAUGAGGAAGGCACAGAGGCUGCCGCAGCCACUGCUGUGGUCAGGAAUUCCCGGUGCAGCAGAAUGGAGCCAAGAUUCUGUGCAGACCACCCUUUUCUUUUCUUCAUCAGGCACCACAAAACCAACUGCAUCUUGUUCUGUGGCAGGUUCUCUUCUCCGUAAAGAGGAGCAAUUGCUGUACAUACCCUCCUUUCCUUCUACCUAUCUUGCCUUAAUUAACAUUCCCUGUGACCUAGUUGGUGCAGUGGCUUGAAUGCCAAAAUAAAGCGUGUGCACUGGA